GUGCCCCACACUUGAAAGUAUGGAAGAGAAAGCGUGAGGCUGGAGGGUGCUCCGUUCGUUCCCUCCUUCCACAGAAAGUCUGGAGAGUUGACUUUGGGACAAGUCCUUCCUUUCCUCUGGUCGGUGCGUGUUCAGUGGCCUGGACACUUGGUGAGCAGGACUGACAGGGUGUUUGACGUACUGGACCUCACAGCCCGGUUGGAAAGGACAGACAGGCAGCAACCAAUUGCCUAGGAGAUACGUAAAGGCAAUUUUGUGUUGAGUGUUGAGAACUACGGCAUUUCCUGUUAGCCUUUGUGACUCAGGCAGUGAUGUGGAAGCUGAGAGCAGAUGCCUAAAAGACAAGGAGGACUUGUGCGGGAGAGUGUUGGGACAGGGCACGGGAGGAGUAUGGCCUGUCAGAGGAGCUGAAAGAAUGCCCUGGAGACUGGGGCCGCCGCGUAGGGACUGUAGGGUGGGGAAAACAAAACUUUUCGAUUGAGGCUGGCGCUUUCUGUAGGUUUUUGGAGACUGAGCGUGGUGAUUCAGAACGUGGCCUCUGGAGCCAGACUCUGUCACAUGGGUCCUGGCUCUGCCACCUACGGGCUGUGUGAACUUGGGCAAGUUACUGUACCAUUCUGGGUGCAUGUGUCUUUCUGCAUUGGUGUUUUCAAGUUCUUUGGAUGAAUAGCCAGCAGUGGGCUAGCUGGAUCAUACACAUGGUAGAUGUAUUCUUAGUUUUCUGAGGAUACUCCAUCCUGCUUUCCAUAGUUGGCUGCACCAGUCUGCCCUCCCGCCAGCAGUGCAGGAGAGUUCCCUUCUCUCCACAUCCUCUCCGACACUUGUCUCUUGUCUUGUUAAUGAGAGCCAUUCUGACCAGAGUAAGGUGACAUCUCCUUGUAGUUGUGAUUUGCAUUUCUCUGAUCGCUAAUGAUGUUGAGUCCCUUUCCAUAUGCCUGUUGGCCAUCCGUAUACCUUCUUUGGAGAAAUCACUGCUCAGAUCUUUUGCCCGCCUUUUUAAUUGGGUUGUUGAUUUCUUUUGCUGUUGAGAUGUAUGAGUUCUUUCUGUGUUUUGGAUAUUAAGCCCUUAUCCGAUAUAGGGUUUGCAAGAAUCUUCUCCCCAGUUGUUAGGUUGUGUUUUGGUUUUGUGGAUGGUUUCCUUUGCGGUGCAGAGGAUUUUUUUUGACUUUGAUGUAGUCCCAUUUGUUCACUUUGUAUUUUGUUUCCAUUGCCCAGUCAGACGUGGUACUUGAAAAUAGGCUGCUAAGACUGAUGUCAAAGAGCCUACUGCCUAUGUUUUCUUGUAGAGGUUGCAUGGUUUCGGGUCUGACAUUCAAGUAAAAGCGGAGGGGGAGGCUGCAGUUCCCCGAGAG
rnacentral:lncRNA from 1 species